AGCGAACGCUGGCGGCGUGCCUAACACAUGCAAGUCGAACGUGAAAGGGAGCAAUCCCACGUAAAGUGGCGUCCGGGUGAGUAACACGUAGGUAAUCUACCCCAGAAUCUGGAAUAACCGGCCGAAAGGCUGGCUAAUACUGGAUAGAGCGACGGAAUCCGUAAUUGGGUUUUUCGGGAAAGGGAGCCUGUAAAAAGACCUUCGUUCUGGGAUGAGCCUGCGUCCCAUCAGCUAGUUGGUGAGGUAAAAGCUUACCAAGGCAAUGACGGGUAGCUGGUCUGAGAGGACGAUCAGCCACACUGGAACUGAAACACGGUCCAGACUCCUACGGGAGGCAGCAGUGGGGAAUCUUGCGCAAUGGACGAAAGUCUGACGCAGCAACGCCGCGUGAGUGAAGAAGGCCUUCGGGUUGUAAAGCUCUGUCGAGUGGGACGAAAAUGCUUGGAGUUCACAGCUCCAGGAACUGACGGUACCACUAAAGGAAGCACCGGCUAACUCCGUG
rnacentral:rRNA from 1 species